AACUACACAAUAUCACGUGGCAGCUAAGCCUCUUUGUUUGGUAAACUUCUUAACCAUUCUUUUACUUUUACUUUAUUCGUUUCAUUUUAAUUAUUGUAACUAUUCUGCAUCAGCAAGUGGUUAUCCACUAUUGGAUGCUUUUUAUUUUACUAAUGAUACAUUUAAAUAACACUUGCAUAUUUGUUAAUCUUUUCAUAUCUCGGUACAGGUGUCGCACGCUACGAGGACCACUUCUUUUUCACCUAUUAAGCUUAGUAAUGUGUGCGUGUGUUUUGUUCCUCUCUUGUUCUCGCCAGUAUAAUGCUUUUUUUUUUAAUAUUUUUUUUUGUCAUCUAUAAUGCCUUUUUUAUAAUAUGUGAAUUAUCAUAAAAUGAAUCGUUGUUGUACAUGUUCAAAGAUUAGAGCGGUUAAACCGUCCAUUGCCAAAAAGAAACAACAAAAAGGCUGACAUGUUGAGAUUGGAAAUCAUCUACAGAGAACUAAGAAAAACGAAACCACAGCCGCGGCAUAAUGCUUGUUGAAAUGCCUUUCCUUACCUAAAAACAAGAAACCUAUGUGUAUCAACUUUUGCUGAUAACCAUAAUGAUAAUAGAGAAAAUUAGCUUAAUAUACAUAAUUGAUGGUCAAAUUAGCAAUCUACACAUAAUUUGACAUAUGUGUAAAUUGUUAUAUCUUUCUUAUCUUAAAUUCUUAAAAAUGUUAUUUUUAACGCUUUUUUUUAUACGUUCUUACAUUCU
rnacentral:lncRNA from 1 species